UGAGGAAUAUUGCGCAAUGGGGGAAACCCUGACGCAGCGACGCCGCGUGGAUGAUGAAGGCCUUAGGGUCGUAAAAUCCUGUCAGAAGGGAAGAAAUGGUUUGUAGUUAAUAUCUGCAAUCCUUGACGGUACCUUCAAAGGAAGCACCGGCUAACUCCGUGCCAGCAGCCGCGGUAAUACGGAGGGUGCAAGCGUUGUUCGGAAUUACUGGGCGUAAAGCGCGCGUAGGCGGCUAUUUAAGUCAGAUGUGAAAGCCCAUGGCUCAACCAUGGACGUGCAUUUGAUACUGGAUAGCUUGAGUAUUGGAGGGGUGGUGGAAUUCCCGGUGUAGAGGUGAAAUUCGUAGAUAU
rnacentral:rRNA from 1 species